CAAAACCCUAGAUGCCGUAAAUGAUCCUUGAUUGUCGUGAUAAUGGGUUUGCAGCGGUCGGGAGCAACAGGAAUACGGCACGAGAUAGGAGCGUUGUAUGUCUGAUACACCUGGACCGGAAGUUGGAGACUCUGGAGCGCGUGCUUCCGUUUAAUGGGAAAUUGAGUGGUUCAGGAGGAGUGUUCACGUGCCCCGAGUUUCAGAUUUUCUUCGGGGCUCUCAGACAGCGAACUUCACACUCCUCCUUCGUGUCAAACCUGUUCCCAUUGCCCCCGCAGCCUCCGUACCAGAAACGGCUGCACUCUUCCUUCGACGUGUCGUAAUGCCACUUCAGCAUGAAGUUGAAGCAUGUGCCCAUGUCCUCAGCGAGCUGGCAAACAUCUGAACAGAUAAUGUGUGUUCAUAUUAGAGACCGAGGUGUGUCCUGGGAGUCACAGAAAAUACAGAUUAACAUGGCAGAGGUAGAGCUGCAUCUUCCUGGAAACUGUACAGGAAAAGGUGGUCUGGUUCUGUUUCUUGUUGCUGUUUUAUAAUAUAAUUUAUUAUUAACAAUAAAAAUGUCAGAAGGCACUUAGGUAAAUUGAUGAUUUUUGUCUGUCGGAAACAAAGAAAUAAAAUAACUAUUUGUACCAUAUUGAAUUGCAAAGCAUCCUAUUUUAUCGCGUUGAAUCAAAUCAAAGUUGGCUCGCACUGCAUCACAAUAGGGCUGCAUUGUAGCGCAUCGCAUUAGAAGCUGAUUCAUAAAUGACUUUAACGUAUAGUAUCAGUGGCUAUGUAUCUAGAUGAGAAUUGCAUCGGCUUUAGUAACAGAUAUGGAAAUCCCUAGUUCAUAUUAAGAAAAAAAGGUGCUUGGUAGUGAAGGCAUUGGACUGGAUCUGAAGGUCGGGAAUUAAAAUGUCAGCCACAGCAAGCUGGGCCCCUGAGCAAGGCCCUUUACCCCGUAGCUGCUCAUUCAUCUGAUAUUCCCUUAUAAAAAUUGUUCUGCAGAAUAGGUCUGUGUCAGAGGGUGCCAAGCAAAAAUUUAAUAAAAGAAAUAACAAAAGAAGAAAAAAUCUGGUCUGAAUGAAUUUUGUGUAGUUGAUGAAACUGAAGAUGAAAAAUAUUCCCCAAAAGACUUUUCCUUUCUCCUUAUGAAAACUAAACAAUAGUUAC